UGGGUGAUCUGCCCUGCACUUUGGGAUAAGCCUGGGAAACUGGGUCUAAUACCGAAUAUGACCUCAGGAUGCAUGUUCUGUGGUGGAAAGCUUUUGCGGUGUGGGAUGGGCCCGCGGCCUAUCAGCUUGUUGGGUGGGGUGAUGGCCUACCAAGGCGACGGACGGGUAGCCGGCCUGAGGAGGGCGAUCCGGCCACACGUGGGACUGAGACACCGGCCCAGACCUCCGUACGGGAGCA
rnacentral:rRNA from 1 species